AAGUCGUAACAAGGUUUCCGUAGGUGAACCUGCGGAAGGAUCAUUAGAGAACACGUCCGAGGGGAGCUUCGUUCGUUGCUGGCCGCUUUGCAGCGGCACCGUGCACGCGUCGCGCCCCGAGGCGUCCCUUCACUAAGCCCCACACACCACACUUGUGAACCCUUGGGAGUCCGUCCGGUCGAAAGGCCGGUGGGCCCGUCAUAUCAUACCCCUUUAAACACGAACCAUAGAAUGUCACCGUUUGCCCUUGAUUGGGUGGACAAAAAGUUACAACUUGCAACGAUGGAUCUCUCGGCUCUU
rnacentral:misc_RNA from 1 species